CUACGGGACGCACCAGUGGGGAAUAUUGGACAAUGGGGGAAACCCUGAUCCAGCAAUGCCGCGUGUGUGAAGAAGGCCUGCGGGUUGUAAAGCACUUUCGGUUGGGAGGACUGCUUCUAGCACUAAUAUUGUUGGAAGUUGACGUUACCUUCAGAAGAAGCACCGGCUAACUCCGUGCCAGCAGCCGGGGUAAUACGGAGGGGGCAAGCGUUAAUCGGAAUUACUGGGCGUAAAGCGCGCGUAGGCGGCUAGAUCAGUCGGGUGUGAAAGCCCCGGGCUUAACCUGGGAACUGCAUCCGAUACUGGCUAGCUUGAGUACAGGAGAGGAGAGUGGAAUUCCACAUGUAGCGGUGAAAUGCGUAGAUAUGUGGAGGAACACCAAUGGCGAAGGCAGCUCUCUGGCCUGAUACUGACGCUGAGGUGCGAAAGCGUGGGGAGCAAACAGGAUUAGAUACCCUCGUAGUC
rnacentral:rRNA from 1 species